rnacentral:precursor_RNA from 1 species
AGGACGAGCGUUUCGUCCUAUUUGGGACUCAUCGGCUUGAUGUACGUGCAUCCCAAUGUUGAUGUUCACAGUGGGAUUUUAACUCAGUCC